GGAAGCGGAGGUGAUGAUCGGCGAAGAAAAAGUUGUCAAACUAAGCGAACUGCUCCCCUAUCGCUGGGAUGAAAGGAGUUGAUACAAAAUCGUAACCCUAAUUGUCAAUUGUGCAAUGUUAAUCGUUAAUUGAAAUGGGGGCGUACCGGUUUCGACGGGUAUGUUGAGGUAAGAUAAGCGAGCCGCGGGGGCGAACCGCGUAAAUAGCGCAAAAAACAAAUUAACUAACAACAAUAAUAGCUACGAAUUAGCUUACGCGGCCUAAUUAAGGUUGCCGUCCUACCUUUGAGUACCGCGGCUUAGGAUAGGGCGUCGAGAGCGGUGAACGUGUACGUCAUAAGCUUUGCUGACGUCAUGUAAAAUGAAGCUACUGAGGCCGUGAGUUUGCCUGGCGACGCGCGGUUGAGGGAAUGUAAAUGUUGGGCUACGCUCGAAGAAAGUCUUAUUGAGAUGUGUUCGGACAGGGGUUCGACUCCCCUCGCCUCCACCA
rnacentral:tmRNA from 1 species